rnacentral:lncRNA from 1 species
AUUAUGUUCUGGCCUGAGGAAUGUGGGCAGAAAGAGAGGCAAAAAAACAAAACAAAACAAAACCUUCAGGAUCCUAGGCUUUCACAAAACCAGAACACAGAAUGAGACUGGGUCCCUGAAUCUGCUUGGAGAUUGGAAGGCAUCUCCUGAGGUUCUCUGCAUCACUGACUCCUCGUUCUUCAGGUCUCAGCUCAAAUGCUGCUUCUUCAGAG